rnacentral:rRNA from 1 species
UACAGAGGGUGCAAGCGUUAAUCGGAAUUACUGGGCGUAAAGCGCACGUAGGUGGCUUGAUAAGUUGGGUGUGGAAUCCCCGAGCUUAACUUGGGAAUUGCAUUCAAGACUGUCUUGCUAGAGUGUGGAAGAGGGAAGCGGAAUUCCAGGUGUAGCGGUGAAAUGCGUAGAUAUCGGGAGGAACACCUGUGGCGAAAGCGGCGCACUGGACCACAACUGACGCUGAGGCGCGAAAGCUAGGGGAGCAAACAGG